UGAGUACGAGACGCUAAGGCGUCGAAGUAGUGUAUGUCAUACUUCCAAGAAAAGCUUGCACUGUCAUUCAUAAAAAAUGCCUGUACCAUAACCGACACAGGUGGGUAGGUAGAGUAUACUAAGGGGCGCGAGAUAACUCUCUCUAAGGAACUCGGCAAAAUAACUCCGUAACUUCGGGAGAAGGAGUGCCUUAUUUAUAUAAGGUUGCAAUAACAAGAUCCAAGCAACUGUUUACCAAAAACACAGGUCUCCGCUAAGUCGUAAGACGAUGUAUGGGGGCUGACGCCUGCCCAGUGCCAGAAGGUUAAAGAAGUUGGUUAGCAAUAGCGAAGCUGAUAACUGAAGCCCUGGUGAACGGCGGCCGUAACUAUAACGGUCCUAAGGUAGCGAAAUUCCUUGUCGGGUAAGUUCCGACCCGCACGAAAGGCGUAAUGAUUUGGAUACUGUCUCGGAGAGGGACUCGGUGAAAUAGACUUGUCUGUGAAGAUGCGGACUACCUGCACCUGGACAGAAAGACCCUAUGAAGCUUUACUGUAACUUGAAAUUGAAAUUGGACUUUAUUCGCGCAGUAUAGGUGGGAGGCGUUGAAAAUAAUCUUGCGGGACUAUUGGAGCCAUCAGUGAGAUACUACUCUUAUAAUGUUAGAUUUCUAACUUUGUAUCAUUAUCUGGUCAAAGAACAGUUUCAGGCGGGCAGUUUGACUGGGGCGGUCGCCUCCCAAACGGUAACGGAGGCGUACAAAGGUUUCCUCUGAACGGGUAGAAAUCGUAUCUAGAGUAUAAAGGCGAAAGGAAGCUUGACUGUGAGACCUACAAGUCGAGCAGGGACGAAAGUCGGUCUUAGUGAUCUGACGGUACUGAGUGGAAAGGCCGUCACUCAACGGAUAAAAGUUACUCUAGGAUAACAGGCUGAUCUCCCCCAAGAGUUCACAUCGACGGGGAGGUUUGGCACCUCGAUGUCGGCUCAUCGCAUCCUGGGGCGGUAGUACGUCCCAAGGGUUGGGCUGUUCGCCCAUGAAAGCGGUACGCGAGCUGGGUUCAGAACGUCGUGAGACAGUUCGGUCCAUAUCCGGUGUAGGCGUUAGAAUAUUGAGAGGAGCCUUCUUUAGUACGAGAGGACCGAGAAGGACAUACCUCUGGUGUACCAGUUAUCGUGCCAACGGUAAACGCUGGGUAGCUAUGUAUGGAGUGGAUAACCGCUGAAAGCAUCUAAGUGGGAAGCCCACCUCAAGAUGAG
rnacentral:rRNA from 1 species